rnacentral:rRNA from 1 species
UACAGAGGGGGCAAGCGUUGUUCGGAAUUACUGGGCGUAAAGGGCGCGUAGGCGCCUUCUAAGUCGAACGUGAAAUCCCCGGGCUCAACCCGGGAACUGCGUCCGAGACUGGAAGGCUUGAAUCCGGGAGAGGGAUGUGGAAUUCCAGGUGUAGCGGUGAAAUGCGUAGAUAUCUGGAGGAACAUCGGUGGCGAAGGCGGCAUCCUGGACCGGUAUUGACGCUGAGGCGCGAAAGCCAGGGGAGCAAACGGG